GACGAACGCUUGCGGCGUGCUUAACACAUGCAAGUCGAACGGAAAGGCCCUGCUUUUGUGGGGUGCUCGAGUGGCGAACGGGUGAGUAACACGUGAGUAACCUGCCCUUGACUUUGGGAUAACUUCAGGAAACUGGGGCUAAUACCGGAUAGGAGCUCCUGCUGCAUGGUGGGGGUUGGAAAGUUUCGGCGGUUGGGGAUGGACUCGCGGCUUAUCAGCUUGUUGGUGGGGUAGUGGCUUACCAAGGCUUUGACGGGUAGCCGGCCUGAGAGGGUGACCGGCCACAUUGGGACUGAGAUACGGCCCAGACUCCUACGGGAGGCAGCAGUGGGGAAUAUUGCACAAUGGGCGGAAGCCUGAUGCAGCAACGCCGCGUGCGGGAUGACGGCCUUCGGGUUGUAAACCGCUUUCGCCUGUGACGAAGCGUGAGUGACGGUAAUGGGUAAAGAAGCACCGGCUAACUACGUGCCAGCAGCCGCGGUGAUACGUAGGGUGCGAGCGUUGUCCGGAUUUAUUGGGCGUAAAGGGCUCGUAGGUGGUUGAUCGCGUCGGAAGUGUAAUCUUGGGGCUUAACCCUGAGCGUGCUUUCGAUACGGGUUGACUUGAGGAAGGUAGGGGAGAAUGGAAUUCCUGGUGGAGCGGUGGAAUGCGCAGAUAUCAGGAGGAACACCAGUGGCGAAGGCGGUUCUCUGGGCCUUUCCUGACGCUGAGGAGCGAAAGCGUGGGGAGCGAACAGGCUUAGAUACCCUGGUAGUCCACGCUGUAAACGGUGGGUACUAGGUGUGGGGUCCAUUCCACGGGUUCCGUGCCGUAGCUAAUGCUUUAAGUACCCCGCCUGGGGAGUACGGCCGCAAGGCUAAAACUCAAAGGAAUUGACGGGGCCCCGCACAAGCGGCGGAGCAUGCGGAUUAAUUCGAUGCAACGCGUAGAACCUUACCUGGGUUUGACAUGGAUCGGGAGUGCUCAGAGAUGGGUGUGCCUCUUUUGGGGUCGGUUCACAGGUGGUGCAUGGCUGUCGUCAGCUCGUGUCGUGAGAUGUUGGGUUAAGUCCCGCAACGAGCGCAACCCUUGUUCACUGUUGCCAGCACGUUAUGGUGGGGACUCAGUGGAGACCGCCGGGGUCAACUCGGAGGAAGGUGGGGAUGACGUCAAGUCAUCAUGCCCCUUAUGUCCAGGGCUUCACGCAUGCUACAAUGGCUGGUACAGAGAGUGGCGAGCCUGUGAGGGUGAGCGAAUCUCGGAAAGCCGGUCUCAGUUCGGAUUGGGGUCUGCAACUCGACCUCAUGAAGUCGGAGUCGCUAGUAAUCGCAGAUCAGCAACGCUGCGGUGAAUACGUUCCCGGGGCU
rnacentral:rRNA from 1 species